rnacentral:misc_RNA from 1 species
GUUUUUCUCAUUUCUCCCCUUUUUUCAGCAAACCAUAGAUCUGAAUUGAAGAGGUUAAAGUGACGGCGCCGCUGCUGUCCGCCUUGACUGAAGUUCGAAUUCGUCUUGGCCCUCUUUUUGUUGUACUAAAAAUCUCUUCUUUUCACUUUUAGGGUUAGUUUUCAUCUGAAAAAACCAGUUCAAAUGGCUCCUAAAGCAACUAAGGCUGAGAAGAAGAUUGCUUAUGACACCAAAAUGUGUCAACUUCUGGAUGAUUUUACUCAGGUGCUUGUGGCUGCUGCUGAUAAUGUUGGAUCUAAUCAGCUACAGAGUAUUAGAAAGGGUUUGAGAGGUGAUUCUGUUGUUCUUAUGGGGAAGAAUACUAUGAUGAAGAGAACUAUUAGGGUUCAUGCUGAGAAAACUGGCAAUGAGACCAUCCUGAAUCUCAUCCCUCUCCUUGUUGGUAAUGUGGGGUUAAUCUUCACCAAGGGUGACCUCAAGGAAGUGAGUGAGGAAGUCGCUAAGUACAAGGUUGGAGCACCUGCUCGUGUUGGUUUGGUG